GAUGAACGCUGGCGGCGUGCCUAAUACAUGCAAGUCGAGCGAACAGACGAGGAGCUUGCUCCUCUGACGUUAGCGGCGGACGGGUGAGUAACACGUGGAUAACCUACCUAUAAGACUGGGAUAACUUCGGGAAACCGGAGCUAAUACCGGAUAAUAUAUUGAACCGCAUGGUUCAAUAGUGAAAGACGGUUUUGCUGUCACUUAUAGAUGGAUCCGCGCCGCAUUAGCUAGUUGGGAAGGUAACGGCUUACCAAGGCAACGAUGCGUAGCCGACGUGAGAGGGUGAUCGGCCACACGGGAACGGAGACACGGUCCAGACUACUACGGGAGGCAGCAGUAGGGAAUCUUACGCAAUGGGCGAAAGCUUGACGGAGCAACGCCGCGUGAGUGAUGAAGGUCUUCGGAUCGUAAAACUCUGUUAUGAGGGAAGAACAAAUGUGUAAGUAAAUAUGCACGUAUUGACGGUACCUAAUAAGAAAGCCACGGCUAACUACGUG
rnacentral:rRNA from 1 species